rnacentral:tRNA from 1 species
GGUUGUUUAGUUUAAAUUAAAAUAUAGGUUUUGUAAUCCUAUGAUAGUUUUUGUGAUUAAUGACCU